GAANANGGGGCUAGUAUUAGGGAAUCUUCCACAAUGGGCGAAAGCCUGAUGGAGCAAUGCCGCGUGAGUGAAGAAGGUCUUCGGAUCGUAAAGCUCUGUUAUCGGAGAAGAACACGGAGUACAGUAACUGGUAUUCCGCUGACGGUAUCCGACCAGAAAGUCACGGCUAACUACGUGCCAGCAGCUGCGGUAAUACGUAGGUGACAAGCGUUGUCCGGAUUUAAUGGGCGUAAAGCGAGCGCAGGCGGUCUUUUAAGUCUGAUGUGAAAGCCCACGGUUCAACCGUGGAUGGUCAUUGGAAACUGGAAGACUUGAAUGCAGAA
rnacentral:rRNA from 1 species